UACGAGGGGGGCUAGCGUUGUUCGGAAUUACUGGGCGUAAAGCGCGCGCAGGCGGUCCUUCAAGUCAGAGGUGAAAGCCCAGAGCUCAACUCUGGAAUGGCCUUUGAGACUAGAGGACUUGGGUACGGGAGAGGUGAGUGGAAUUCCGAGUGUAGAGGUGAAAUUCGUAGAUAUUCGGAAGAACACCAGUGGCGAAGGCGGCUCACUGGCCCGUUACCGACGCUCAGGCGCGACAGCGUGGGGAGCAAACAGG
rnacentral:rRNA from 1 species